AACAACAAAAUCAAGAAAUUAAACUGGUGGACCUGAAGAAAAUAACAUUCUUGGAUAAGUCUGUUUUUGGAGAUUUGUUAGCAUAUGAAUGUGAUCCUGGAGAAUGUUCCAUGUGCACUAGAGAAUGUGUAUUCUGCUGCUCUUAGAUGAAAUG